UUGAAGUCUUGUAAUUGGAAUGAUGGGAAUUUAAACCCCUUCCAGAGUAUCAAUUGGAGGGCAAGUCUGGUGCCAGCAGCCGCGGUAAUUCCAGCUCCAAUAGCGUAUAUUAAACUUGUUGCAGUUAAAAAGCUCGUAGUUGAAUUUCUGCUGUUUCGUUGACUGCGUUUGGCGUUUGUCAUCGUUGCGGCUUGGUUGGGUUUCGAUUAUUCGUUUCCCGGCGUUUACUUUGAGAAAAUUAGAGUGCUUGAAGCAGGCUUUUGCCUUGAAUACUUUAGCAUGGAAUAACGGAGUAGGACUUUGGUUCUAUUUUGUUGGUUUUAGGAGCCAGAGUAAUGGUUAAUAGGAACA
rnacentral:rRNA from 1 species